rnacentral:rRNA from 1 species
UACGGAAGGCAGCAGUGGGGAAUAUUGCACAAUGGGCGAAAGCCUGAUGCAGCUAUGCCGCGUGUAUGAAGAAGGCCUUAGGGUUGUAAAGUACUUUCAUCGGGGAGGAAAAAACAAAACUAAUAAUUUUAUUUCUUGACGUUACCCGAAAAAGAAGCACCGGCUAACUCCGUGCCAGCAGCCGCGGUAAUACGGAGGGUGCUAGCGUUAAUCAGAAUUACUGGGCGUAAAGAGCACGUAGGUGGUUUUUUUAAAGUCAGAUGUGAAAUCCCUGGGCUUUAACCUAGGAACUGCAUUUUGAAACUGAAAUACUAGAGUAUCGUAGAGGGAGGUAGAAUUCUAGGUGUAGCGGUGAAAUGCGUAGAUAUCUGGAGGAAUACCUGUGGCGAAAGCGGCCUCCUAAACGAAUACUGACACUGAGGUGCGAAAGCGUGGGGAGCAAACAGGGAUUAGAUACCCGU